AGGAGAUGCUGAAACGAUUCUCAGAUCACUUCUGUACUGUCCAUGUUCAUGCCCUCAGGUCCCGUUGAUGUGGAUACACAGGCAUUUGCAAAUGAACAUUCUGAUACGUACCACAUAUACAGCUCAAUCCCGACAGACCAGCAUCCUCAGCCCAG